AGAACAAACGCUGGCGGCGUGCCUAAUACAUGCAAGUCGAACGAGUAGCAAUACUAGUGGCGCACGGGUGAGUAACGCGUGGAUAAUCUGCCCUUCAGUGGGGAAUAACUCUCCGAAAGGAGAGCUAAUACCGCAUAAGACCACAGUGACUGAGGUCACAGAGGUUAAAGGAGUAAUUCGCUGAAGGAUGAGUCCGCGUCAGAUUAGUGGUAGUUGGUGGGUAAUGGCCUACCAAGCCUUCGAUCUGUAGCUGGUCUGAGAGGAUGAUCAGCCACGACGUGGAACCUGGAACGACGACGGUCCAGACCUCCGUACGGGAGCGAGCAAGGUAGGGAAUUAGUUGGACAAGUCGGGACGAAAGCCGUAGAACUC
rnacentral:rRNA from 1 species